rnacentral:rRNA from 1 species
UACGGGGGGGGUAAGCGUUGUUCGGAAUUACUGGGCGUAAAGGGCUCGUAGGCGGCCAACUAAGUCAGACGUGAAAUCCCUCAGCUUAACUGGGGAACUGCGUCUGAUACUGGAUGGCUUGGAUUUGGGAGAGGGAUGCGGAAUUCCAGGUGUAGCGGUGAAAUGCGUAGAUAUCUGGAGGAACACCGGUGGCGAAGGCGGCAUUCUGGACCGACAUUGACGCUGAGGAGCGAAAGCCAGGGGAGCAAACGGG